rnacentral:rRNA from 1 species
ACUCCUACGGGAGGCAGCAGUGGGGAAUAUUGCACAAUGGGCGCAAGCCUGAUGCAGCCAUGCCGCGUGUGUGAAGAAGGCCUUCGGGUUGUAAAGCACUUUCAGUUGUGAGGAAGGUGGUGUCGUUAAUAGCGGCAUCAUUUGACGUUAGCAACAGAAGAAGCACCGGCUAACUCCGUGCCAGCAGCCGCGGUAAUACGGAGGGUGCGAGCGUUAAUCGGAAUUACUGGGCGUAAAGCGCAUGCAGGUGGUUUGUUAAGUCAGAUGUGAAAGCCCGGGGCUCAACCUCGGAACUGCAUUUGAAACUGGCAGACUAGAGUACUGUAGAGGGGGGUAGAAUUUCAGGUGUAGCGGUGAAAUGCGUAGAGAUCUGAAGGAAUACCGGUGGCGAAGGCGGCCCCCUGGACAGAUACUGACACUCAGAUGCGAAAGCGUGGGGAGCAAACAGGAUUAGACACCCUGGUAGCACAGAG